CCUACGGGAGGCAGCAGUGAGGAAUAGUGGUCAAUGGCCGGAAGGCUGAACAAGCCAAGUAGCGUGAAGGAAGAAGGAUCGAUGGUUUGUAAACUUCUUUUAUAGGGGAAUAAAGGGAGGCACGUGUGGAUAUUUGCAUGUACCCUAUGAAUAAGCAUCGGCUAACUCCGUGCCAGCAGCCGCGGUAAUACGGAGGAUGCGAGCGUUAUCCGGAUUUAUUGGGUUUAAAGGGUGCGUAGGUUUUUUUUUAAGUCAGCGGUGAAAGUUUGUGGCUCAACCAGAAAAUUGCCGUUGAAACUGGCAGUCUUGUGUGUGUUUGCGGUCGGCGGACUGCGUGGUGUAGCGG
rnacentral:rRNA from 1 species